AACGAACGCUGGCGGCAGGCUUAACACAUGCAAGUCGAGCGCCCCGCAAGGGGAGCGGCAGACGGGUGAGUAACGCGUGGGAACGUACCUUUUGGUUCGGAACAACUCCGGGAAACUGGAGCUAAUACCGGAUAAGCCCUAACGGGGAAAGAUUUAUCGCCGAAAGCUCGGCUCGCGUCUGAUUAGCUAGUUGGUGAGGUAACGGCUCACCAAGGCGACGAUCAGUAGCUGGUCUGAGAGGAUGAUCAGCCACACUGGGACGGAGACACGGCCCAGACUCCUACGGGAGGCAGCAGUGGGGAAUAUUGGACAAUGGGCGCAAGCCUGAUCCAGCCAUGCCGCGUGAGUGAUGAAGGCCUUAGGGUUGUAAAGCUCUUUUGUCCGGGAAGAUAAUGACUGUACCGGAAGAAUAAGCCCCGGCUAACUUCGUG
rnacentral:rRNA from 1 species